rnacentral:rRNA from 1 species
AAAUUUGAAAUCUGACCCGUCCCGGGUCCGAGUUGUAAUUUGUAGAAGAUGCUUCGGGUGGGGUGCCGGUCUAAGUUCCUUGGAACAGGACGUCACAGAGGGUGAGAAUCCCGUACGUGACCGCGCGCCUUCGCCCAAGUGAAGCUCUUUCGACGAGUCGAGUUGUUUGGGAAUGCAGCUCCAAAUGGGUGGUAUAUUUCAUCUAAAGCUAAAUAUAGGCCAGAGACCGAUAGCGCACAAGUAGAGUGAUCGAAAGAUGAAAAGCACUUUGGAAAGAGAGUUAAACAGUACGUGAAAUUGUUGAAAGGGAAGCGCUUGCACCCAGACUUGCGCGCGGUCGAUCAUCCGGGGUUCUCUCCGGUGCACUCGAUCGCGCUCAGGCCAGCAUCGGUUUCGGUGGCCGGAUAAAGGCCCUAGGAAUGUGACUCCCCCCGGGGAGUGUUAUAGCCUAGGGUGCCAUGCGGCCCACUGGGACCGAGGACCGCGCUUCGGCUAGGAUGCUGGCGUAAUGGGUGCAAGCGACCCGUCUUGAAACACGGACCAAGGAGUCUAAUAUCUAUGCGAGUAUUUGGGUGUCAAACCCAUCUGCGCAAUGAAAGUGAACGGAGGUGAGACCCCGCAAGGGCGCAUCACCGACCGAUCCUGAUGUCUUCGGAUGGAUUUGA